UACGUAGGGGGCAAGCGUUGUCCGGAAUCAUUGGGCGUAAAGAGCGUGUAGGCGGCCAGAUAAGUCCGCUGUGAAAACUCGAGGCUCAACUUCGAGCUGUCGGUGGAAACUAUUUGGCUAGAGUCCGGAAGAGGAGAGUGGAAUUCCUGGUGUAGCGGUGAAAUGCGCAGAUAUCAGGAAGAACACCCGUGGCGAAGGCGGCUCUCUGGUACGGAACUGACGCUGAGACGCGAAAGCGUGGGUAGCGAACAGG
rnacentral:rRNA from 1 species